GGGACCAGUAAGAGCAACUGGGACCUUGACACUGGGCCCCAGGUGUGUAGUGGCACAGUCACAGGGCACCAGAGCAUCCUCCAGCCUUUCCUGGGAAUUGUGGGUGAAAAAAAAAGGUGAUACACAAUUCAGAGGAAAUUCUAAAAGCAAUCUGGAAAUAUUAAGAGCAGAAAUACAAACACAAAGAGGUGCAAUUAGGGAGUUGGAUAGCAGAAGUACUGAGUGCCCUAAGUGGGGAAGUGAAGACACCAAUCAAGGUCUCAAAAAGAGCAACAGAGCAGAAGCAUUUGGUUAGAGGGCCCAAAUUUUUCCUGGCUCACACUUUUUUUUUUUUGGCCAGGGUCUGUUAAGAUUAUUCUCUUUGAGGUCAGAGAGAAGCACCAAAGAAGCACUAUAUGGAACACAUAGCAAACCUGUGUAGCUUAGAGGCCAUGUUGAAUCUAGCCCUCCUUGGUGAUACUCAUUUUCCAGGCAGAGUCUUAACCUAACUAGGCAGAUAUAGGGAGAAAAGUCUGAGAAGCCAAACUGUACUGAGUACCCACUUACUGUCAUUUAGUAGAAUACUUAAAGCAUCCUGUUUUGUUCUGCAAUGUGUCAGUGAGAUCAACAACUACCCAAAAGGGUUCAACCUAACAAGCCACAUCAGAAAAACUGAGUGGGUGAGAGAUGCCUCUUAUCAAGACUGAUAUGCAGCUUGAUGAACAGACAAUUUAGUUGGUCCAUCAGCAUGUAUAUCUCGUACAAAUGUUACAUACAGACUGCAAUCUGAAUCCAGAACUGAUUGGGAAGAAAAGAGCUGACUGGGUUUAAUCUGGGAAAUUGUACAGGACUUUCAACAAUCCCAAACUGUUUCCUUAAAACAAAAUAAAAACAACUUUUCCA